GUUAAAUCUGAAAAGUGGCAAAAUAAUGCAGACACACGAGACAAUUAUAGGACUCUAAAAAUGAACCAAAAAGAUGACCCAAGGGAACACUGUCAUUUCUGAAUGAUGAAUAACAAGUGAGCCUGGUAAAAUAAUUUGUCUAGGGAUAUAUUCUGUGUUUUGAACACGACAUUCAGCAUACGAAAGUUAUGGAGAUACAAAGGCCUUCGCUGCGAUUUUAAAAAGCUUCUGAGGCCAAGCAAUCGGCGGCAACAUUACAUUUUCUUCAAGGAUGUACUGAGAGAUCAUUGUGUAAAGCCAUCUGCACAGUCCAGGAUACUCUUCAAGGUUUGAAGCUGUCCUCUUGUCUCCUCCUCCUGAAUGCUGGCUACAAAGGUUGUUUUUGAACCCCUGGUGGAUUCGGUGGACAUGGACUGGCUAGAGGAGGCGAAGAUGGAGCUGCACAAGGUGACCAAGUUUGCGGAGAACCAGGAAACACCGCUGCUGGUCAUCACUAACAACCACCAUGUGAUUUCUCUCCUGCUCCCUUUCCCGAGAGUCAUCCAGGAGUGCUUAGCUCAGAUUAAACCUGGUGCUUUACUUUUUAGUUAGGCUCUAUUUGGAUAACUGCAUCAGUGGGGAAACCUACUACCAGGGGUUCAAGAAAACCUAUCACGAUCUAUGAAUGAAACUAUAAGAGGAAAAUUCUGAGUGCUUGUAAGAAAACUCAAAGAAAACAAAGGAAAAGUCGUAUGACUUCUGUUGCGCCAUACCAUGGGUUGUUGGUGGUGCUUCUGGCCCCUCCCAGGUUUAAUAAGUAGGAGUGGGCUUGCUUCAGAUUGCCCAUCCUUUCUAUUUUUCUUCAGAUGAUGUUUCCAGACAUGGAUUGUCCUUGUGACUGUAUACAGUCUAAACUCAAGUGAACUUUGUUUUCUUUAACUCUCAGAAUAGCCUCAGAAUAUCAAUAGUCUAAUGCUCUGACUAUUAGACUAAGGACACUAUGAGACCUUAGUGUUAUAAAAGGACUCAAGAGAGACCUCUGUGACCAAAGGGCCACACUGUCGCUAAGAGACAGAUAUAUAUGCAGGCAGAACUUAAGUGAGGACUUUAUUGAGGGAAGAGUAAAGAGGAGGGAAGAGAGAAAAAGAAAUACAGAGGGGAAGAGGAAGAUGAGGCAAGGACUAGCCUGCUUCUUCUUCUUCUUCUGAAUAGAAGUAGUAUGAAUAUAGAGUGGGAAUGGGCACAGCUUGUCUCUUAAAGGGACUUUUGCAUCUAUGUAUAGACUAUAUAGCGACAUAGCAGCCAUAGGACCCUGGGUACUGCCUGGAUUCAUCCUGCCAGGUGACAGGGUCCAGCACACUGCCUAAUCCUAACACUUGGUAUAUCUCAUUUUAAGGCUCUGAUCUCCCAGAUUCACACUACCAACUACAGUGGUGACAUAUCUAAGUAUUAACAUAAUGGGAAUGAAGAGGAUGCUUAGAUAUCUUGACUUGGGGAACAUACAAUUUUCAGAGACAAAUGUUGGAAUAAGGAUCUGAAAAAGAUCAUGUAGAUAUUAAUAUAUCUUUUUUUUGAGUUUUGUUUCCCUGUGCUCACUCUAUUUUGUUCUUUCUUUUAGUGCUCCUUGAGCACACACUGUAGAUUUCAUAUUAUACUGGGCAAUAAGCAAGAAAUAUACUGCAGAUUACAACAGGUGAAUCGAGAACUUCUAUUUCUAUGAGGGAGAAAGAUUCUAAACCAUAAACUGUGAACAUAUUGAACUGAAAUUAUGAUAUGUGGGAAAGACGUUAGAUGACAAAACUUUAAGGUUUACUAAAUUGGUCUCUUGUGAGGAACUGAUACAUGAGCUAAAUGUUAAAUGACAGCAGAAAUUAAUAAGGGAGCUUUUUUUGGCAGAGAUAUUGCACAUAAAUACUCCACGGAGGGAAGAUCCUGAAACUUUUAUAACAAUUGUGGUAGAAGAGAAAUUGUCUUCUGAGUCAUUUUGUCGAUCUGGAAGGAAUCUAAAGACUUCCUUUACAUUUAAUGUUUAAGAAAAUAUGGGGAAUAGAACACUUAGAUUAUGGAAGGUAGAAAGUUCAAAAUGGCAGGAAGUGGAAAAGAAGUUAAAGGAAAUGCUCCCUAACCUCCUCAAGCUAUGCCACACAGAGUUCCACUUGCUUUCUAGUCCAGGCUAGGUAUUUUCUGCACGCGCUACAAAACACAAACUUGACGUCAUGAAGGGAUAGAUGGGCCACUGGUUCCCCUCUCUAUCACAUUCAAUUGCCAGAAUUCCAUUAACACCCUUUCAGGUUCCUAUCUUUCUUACUCCAAGUACUGGGGCGGGCACUGAGCAGAUUUAAUUUCUUGGUUGUGGGGGUGGGGUCUGGGAAGUGUAGGUAAGACUGACAGAUGAGUGCCGAGAAUGUCUGUGCCACUGUGGGGGUGGUGUCUAGUCUUUUCUCUCUCACCAAUAGCAGGAGAGCUGUGCAUCACCAGCACUACCAGCACAAAUCAUAUUUCAUUUCAUCCAUGAAGAUGUUCAUUAGAAUUUUUUAUAGUUUCAUAAAGAAAAGGUCUUGAAUGUUGAUUAUUUUCCUUAGCAGCUACCUGUGGGAAUUAUGGUCACUCUCUGUUUUUUUUUUCUUUUUUUUUUUUUUUAACAAAGGGGGAAGCUACUAGAAAGCAGGCCUGAGAGACUCAGCCUUGUAUGCAGAUUUCCCCUUUCAAAGUCCCCUCUCCCUCUUAAUUUCACUACUUAGAAUAAAUAGAUCUUUAUAAUGGAUUUCUUGAUUCCCCUUUGGCUUGCUGAAGAUGGGGCCUUGGACACAUACUUUGCCACUGAAUCCCAUCACCAGCCCUCCCAGUUACAGAAAUGCUUAGAGGUUUCACUGCCACUAGUUAAAACAUACAAGAGUUAGCUCUAAGAGAAAUGUCAGUUUGUCAAUCCAUCACUUUUCCUUCUUGAUUUUAUGAGGCAUGUACAUUAUCAAAG